rnacentral:rRNA from 1 species
AGUAAUGUAUGGGGAUCUGCCCGAUAGAGGGGAAUAACUACUGGAAACGGUGGCUAAUACCGCAUAAUGUCUACGGACCAAAGCAGGGGCUCUUCGGACCUUGCACUAUCGGGUGAACCCAUAUGGGAUUAGCUAGUAGGUGGGGUAAAGGCUCACCUAGGCGACGAUCUCUAGCUGGUCUGAGAGGAUGAUCAGCCACACUGGGACUGAGACGCGGCCCAG